GGCUUAGUGGUCUAGUGGUAUGAUUCUCGCUUUGGGUGCGAGAGGCCCUGGGUUCAAUUCCCAGCUGAGCCC
rnacentral:tRNA from 1 species